rnacentral:rRNA from 1 species
AGUGAACGCUGGCGGUAGGCCUAACACAUGCAAGUCGAACGGCAGCACAGUAAGAGCUUGCUCUUACGGGUGGCGAGUGGCGGACGGGUGAGGAAUACAUCGGAAUCUACUUUUUCGUGGGGGAUAACGUAGGGAAACUUACGCUAAUACCGCAUACGACCUACUGGUGAAAGCAGGGGAUCUUCGGACCUUGCGCGAUUGAAUGAGCCGAUGUCGGAUUAGCUAGUUGGCGGGGUAAAGGCCCACCAAGGCGACGAUCCGUAGCUGGUCUGAGAGGAUGAUCAGCCACACUGGAACUGAGACACGGUCCAGACUCCUACGGGAGGCAGCAGUGGGGAAUAUUGGACAAUGGGCGAAAGCCUGAUCCAGCCAUACCGCGUGGGUGAAGAAGGCCUUCGGGUUGUAAAGCCCUGUUGUUGGGAAAGAAAAGCAGCAGGUUAAUACCCCGCUGUUCUGACGGUACCCAAAGAAUAAGCACCGGCUAACUUCGUG